GUCUGGCUCUGUUGCCCAGGCUGAAGUGCAAUGGUGCAAUCAGAAUUUACUGCAACCUCGACCUCCUGGGCUCAAGUGAUCCUCCUGACUCACUCAGCUUCCUAAGUAGCUGGGACUACUGCCAUCAUAAUGUGAAGAAGCCGAAGCAGCCUGUGAAGAGGCGCUAGUGGAAAGGAACUCAGGUGCCCCUGCCCUCAGUCCCAGCUGAACUCUCAGCUGACAGCCAUCACCAACUUGCCAGCCACAGGAGUGAGCCAACUUGAGAGUGGAUCUUUCAGUCCCAGUGGAGCCAUCUCAGCUGACACACCAUGGUAAAAAGAUGAACCAUCCUUGCUGAUCCUUGCCAGUGCUGCAGAUACAUAAGCAAAAUAAAUGUUUUUGUUGUUUUAAGCCACU
rnacentral:lncRNA from 1 species